UUGAGGGUAGGGAAUUAAGGGAUGUUUUAACCGACAGAAAACUCUAAACGAACAUUAAGAUUAUACUUUAAUUUUUAUCAUUUAAAAAAACCUCUGAAUCUGGUAUUGGCACUUUUCCCUCAAUCCGAGUUGAGUCCCGGAUUUUUACCAUUCAUUAGGUUUCGGAUCUGUUUUCUUUUUCAGGUCUGAAAAUGCGUUAAUCGAACCAUCAAUGGUGAUUUCUGGGGAUGGUAGUAGUAGGUCCAAAACGACUAUGUGGGGGUGGUUGUUGGUGGGAAUUGGAUCACUUGUAUUGCUCGGAUUUCUCUUCACCGCUUUCAUCUCCCAUCUUCUUCCGCCCUCAAAUUAUACUCUGAUUGCUGUCAUCCAAAAUGACAGGUUCUUACCCUCAGACCAUGUCCAAUACGUGUUGAACAUAGUUCUCAGACACUAGUACUUUAGAGUAAAUGAAAAGUCCAGCAACAUAGAUUAUGAGUCAAGUUGGGCCUCAGAGCUUCAGUCAAAUGUCAGAAAGCAUUCCUUUUUGUCUUUGGUUUUCUUUAGUUGAUUUCUCUUUUAUGAAUGUAAAAAGUCUUUGAAACUAACUUCCUCCUUUUACCUUUUGAAAGAUGCACAACUUUUUGGCUAAGUGGUGGUAGAUUUGGUUAAUUAGCAUAUAAGUAUGUACACCAAUUAUUUUUGAUUCUUCAAUUCUUCCAUGUAGAUUAUUUCCCAUUGAAUAUGGCUUCUGAAUUUCUUUUCACUACUCCAUUUCUAAAAGCUAUGUUACCCAAAUUCAAGUGAAAACGGGCAUGAAUCCAACACAAAUAUGCUUCUUUAAUUUUUAUUUUUAUUUUCCAUAUAUUGGUGCUCUCAUCCUCGUGUCCAAAUAUGUUGCAAGCCUUAGAUUGGGAUAUAGUCACGAGACGGUUUUGCUUGGGCUUUCUAUGAGAACCUAUGGUGAGGGGAUUGGGAAAAGAGUGGAGCUCUUGAAAGGGGCUACCAACCUUGGAGCUCAAGAGAGAGAGAGAGCAGCCUAUCUCAAGUAGAAUAAUGUCUUCUUGACUAAAAGACAAAUAAGAUUUCAGAAUAUCCUAUAGAAUAAUUAACUAAUAUUGUUUUUAUUGUUGCCUUAAUUUGUUGGAUGUUGGCUGCAUCUUUGAUUCUUGUCUUGAUUCUCUUGAUCUUGCCAUUCAUAACAUCACUCACCCCCCCCCCCUCCCCAACUCAAGCUCAAAUUGCACGGAGAGAACUUCAGGCUCCAGGGUAGUGGCAACACUAUCUGAAUCCUCAUUCUACUCCGUCUCUGCUAUUUCCUACCCAAAGACGUGUUCACAUUUGUGGUCACUAGUGUAUGUCUCAUCGCAAUUGUAACAGUCCUGUGGCCCUUCUUUCUGCCAUUUCAACCCGGUUCAAGCGUUUGAUGAAGGGUGGUGAAUUUCCACAUCAAGACGAAUGGAGUCUAAUUGCCUUGCUGUGAAAAUAUCCAGGCGUUGGUCAACAAGCACAGUGGUGGUUCGUGCAAGCAUAUUAUAAAAUAUGCUCGUGUAUUAUUCUAUCAUCCAUGCUUGCCAAAGUGUGAUGAGUUCUCCAAGGGGAUUGUUUCGUGUUGUUCCUCCAACAUGUGCCUCAUCAUCUCCAUUAUUGGAUUCAUCUGGUUGUUUGAAUCUCCAAUGACUCCUAGCAUAGUUGGAAGCUUAGAUUGGUAGCUAGGCAUGGGACGAUUUUACUUGGGAUUUUUUAUAGGAAUCUAUGGUGAGAGGAUUGGGAAAAGAGUGGAGCUCUUCAAAGGGGGCUACCAACCUUGGAGCUCAAGAGAGAGGGAUGUCUAUCUCAAGUUGAAUAAUUUUCUGCUUGCCUCUUUCAUUACAUUCUGCUGUUUAAAUGACAAGGCUAGUCUGACUAAUUUAGGUAGCACAUGAUAAUAAGGAUACUAAUCCCUUUGUUAUAGGGCUUGACCCGAAAGAAAUAAAACUCUAGGAUAUUCCAUAAAAUCAUUAACUGAUAUUACUUCUAUUGUUGCAUUAAUUUGUGGGAUCUUGAUCGUAUCCUCGAUUCUUGCCAUCCGCAACAAAAUGACAUCGAUACUUUAGAGAAGAUAAGAGUCUAGUUAACAUGGAUUAUGAAUCAACUUGGGCCUGAGAGCUUUGAUAAGAUGUCUUGAAGCAUUCCUUUUGUCUUUGGUUAAUUUCGCUUUUCCGAAUAGAAAAGAUCUUCUAGAUUACCUCUUUUUUCCUUGUGAAAGAUGCACAGCCUAUUGUCUGCAAAGUGGUAGAAUUGAUCAAUUAGGAUAUUACUAUAUACACCAAUUAUUGACUAUUCUUUCUUUUCUUUUCUUUUUUCCUCAUGUAGUUUAUUUCCUAUUGAAUGCGGCUCCCAAUUUUUUUUUCAUUAGUCCAUUUGUUAUGAGCUAUGUUAUCCAGACUCGGGUGAAUCUUGAAUACCGGUAUGUGUUCAGGACAUGUAUGUCUCUUUCUUUUAGCUUUUUCACAUAUUUGCAUAAUGAUAUCCUCCAUACAAAUGCCUGAAUACGAGUCAAGAUGGACAUUAAGGCUUUGGUCGAAUGUCAUACUUAGAAAACAUUCCCUUUUUCUCUUUGGUUUGCUUUGGUUGUUUUCUUUUCGUUAUAGAAAGGUCCUCUUGAAUGAAGUCCUUUUACCUUUUGAAAGAUGCAAAACCUACCGGUUAUAUGUUGGUAGAUUUCGUUAAUUAGCAUAUACUGCAUACAGCAAUUUAUCCAGGAUUGAUUAUGAAACAAAGUCAGUCCUAAAAUACUUGUCCACUCCCUCCAAGUAGCCCUUUCCGAGGGCUUAGAUUACUCGCCUAUAUUCGAGGUCUUGAACAAAGUUUUUUCAAAUUUAGAUGAACCUUAGUGCUAUUUAAUAAAAAAAAUUAGGUCCACACGCCGACCUGGGCCCAACCCAGCCCAGGUUUGGGUAAGGAAGGUAGAAAAAAAUGAGCCGGAUUCCUUCACCGUCCACGGAUAGGUCUACUUCAAAGUUUCACCUACCAGUUUGGUCUUCAAAAGCUUGGCACCUUUUUUUCCUUACCUUUUAUUGUAAUUAUAUUUAUUCAAGUUAGAGCUUAUUGUCGCCAUCAAUGAAAAAUUAUAAAAACUAACAUGUUUAUUUAUUUAUGCUAUUUUUUAUUUGCAGAAAUAUUUGGGAAACUUAAUAGAUCAGGAAAUAGCUUUCUUUGUCAUUUUCUUUUAAUAGUUUUGCUUAAUAUGGCUUUGUACUUUAUUUUUGAGCAAUUUAGCCAUUGAAUAAUAUUUGUUUUCAUUUUGGUAUUUAAUUUUUCUAUCCAUUUUAGUAUUUAAGUUAUUUUAUCUCAGUUUAUCCUAAAAAUUAUGAAUGUGAAUGAUGUCAUUUAUCAUGCGUCAUGUUUUUAUUAAUUAACAUUGAAUUUUGGAAUAUACGGGGCUAAAAGAUAAUUUAAAUACCAGGACUAGAAAAAAGUUUCACUUUGUACUGGUUGACAUGCUGACACAGCAAAAUAGAUCCUAGAUGACGCAUUUAACUCGGAUAAGGAAGUUCCUGUCAUUGCAUUUACUUCAGCAAUAGCAGGUUAAGGAAAAAAUGGAACUCAAUGGUAUUUUCAGUAUUUUUUACUUUUAUUGCCUGAUAAUGGAAGGUUAUCAGCAAAUUAGUGGUAUGGGCAGUUUGCUCAUCCUUAGAUGAAUUUGAAAGUAGGAAGUUAAAUUUGACUCCUGUUUCACCUCAUAU